rnacentral:tRNA from 2 species
CGGGGUGUAGCGCAGCCUGGUAGCGCACUUGACUGGGGGUCAAGUGGUCGUCAGUUCAAAUCUGGCCACCCCGACCA